GAGCCGUAGGUGGGUUUGUCGCGUCGUCUGUGAAAUUCCGGGGCUUAACUCCGGGCGUGCAGGCGAUACGGGCAUAACUUGAGUACAGUAGGGGUAACUGGAAUUCCUGGUGUAGCGGUGAAAUGCGCAGAUAUCAGGAGGAACACCGAUGGCGAAGGCAGGUUACUGGGCAGUUACUGACGCUGAGGAGCGAAAGCAUGGGUAGCGAACAGGAUUAGAUACCCUGGUAGUCCAUGCCGUAAACGGUGGGCACUAAGUAGAGGGG
rnacentral:rRNA from 1 species